rnacentral:misc_RNA from 1 species
GAACGCACAUUGCGCCCGGCAGUAAUCUGCCGGGCAUGCCUGUCCGAGCGUCAUUUCUGCCCUCGAGCCUGUCCAGCAUCUAGGUGCUGUUCCGGCCCGGCGUUGGGGCACUACGGGAAGCCUCGUGCUAUCCCCCGUAGGCCCCGAAAUGAAGUGGCGGUCCUGCCGCGGCUCCCCCUGCGUAGUAUUACAGCUCGCUUCGGGACCCGGUGGAGGCCUGCCGUCAAACCUUACUCUCUAAGUUUGACCUCGGAUCAGGUAGGGUUACCCGCUGAACUUAAGC